CAUUUUCAAAGUGGUGUGAUUUAGUGACUAACACGAACGAGAGAAGUGCUUAUUGGUCGGUAUUCUUACGUUGGUCCUUUAGGUUUAGGUCGUGGUUCUGCUCGUCUCUUGUCAAGGUUUUGAGGUUUGCGGUCCGGCCUGAGUUUAAAAGUAGUUUGUCGCCAAAAACAGCGCUUCACACAUCAAUUAAGCUUCGUUGGUAAUUAUUUAAGUGAUAAGGUUCUGCUGGUACGUUAGCAGCGAGUGUUAGCCUGCUAGUACGCGAACAUUGCACAGCAAAAUUGAUUAGCAAGCCGGCCAGAGACUACAGAAGUCGGGAACUACAGUUACAUUAUCUCUCUCAAAGCUGAAGUAUUAUCAUUGAUUCAGCCCCUGAUUGAUACUUUGAAGUAGGGUAUUUCCUUAGUCUGACUGUGCAUGCGGAAGCAGCAAGAAGCGGGAUGUGUUUACAUGGUGGGUACGAAUGCCCUUGUCGGGCUGAGGUGGCAACGGAGCACUAACCCAGCACAGAGGUCAUUUCAAAUCUCAGGAAAACAUUUUUAGUAACAUUCCCCCAACAAAAACUUAGUCAUUCUUAAACAUAUGAAGUUUUUAUUAUGAAACAGUAAUUACCAUAUAUUAAGUGUAAUUACCAUAUAUUAAGUGUAAAAAAAUCAGACAUUUUUUCAUCACUGUCGUGGCAUUUUUAGAGAAGCGGCCAAAAAGGCUGAGUUUGACUAUAGUCUACUUUACCGCGGAAUGAGGGCUUAGAAUUACCUUAGUUUUGAGUGUAAUAAAAAAUUUAACAGCAUUCUAUACACCUUUGUCUAAUAUCUGCUUUAAAGGUUUAUGUACUUGUUAAAUGUAGUACUGAGCACUUCCAUUGCGCAGGUUUGACCUACUAUGAGGUUCAGAGACUUCGUCCCGGUGCUUUUUCGGAAUAAAAUUUUUUCUGUGCAUUUGACUUAAGAUAUUACUUAGCCAUAGUAUGCUUUACAUCCCUACCUAAUUUUCGGCAGCAUUCAUUAUUACUCUAUUAGAAAAAAGUAUAUUCAUAAGAGUAAAAUAAAGCAGACAAAGCCACUGGCGGAACACACGAGUGUACGGGUUCAAAGUUAUACGUGACGUAGACAUAUGACGUCCUGACUCCUCCCACAAGGUGAUGACAAACGGCUGUCUGAUUAUCUGAAUGAAUAUUCGUGCCUUGUCAAGGCUUCAAGAAUGGCGGCUAUGAUUAGUCAUUGUCCCAAUACUUGGCUUAGUCUAAAUUCUAUGUAUAAUCCAAUCUAAUCCUGUGUUUUUAUUACAAUGAUGGUCACCGUCAUAUUGGGAAAAACAUCAAAGGAGCUACGACGAAUGCAAAAGUUUUCCUUUGCUAAUUUAUUUUUAAUAAUUUUUCAAUGGAGAAAGUGAUAAAAAGUAAUUUCUCGUAUUACUUGUGGAAACACUGUACUAAAAGUAUUCCA